AAAAUUACACAGGGGGGUGUUGCUUUUUCAACUGAAACUUGACAUCACUUCUGAAAUGGCAUGUGUGACCAUAGAUGGUAUUCAAUCAUCAUUGAAGCUUGGCCGCCUUGUUCAAAAAAGCACAUCAUUUGUAUUCAGUUCUGUAGUGGUGAACAGCUACCAGAGAGAGAGACAGAUAAUGAGAGAUGCUCGUGGCUCAGCUAAUUACUAGUAAGUCCAUCUGUAGUAAGAUGUGUGGCUGGGGGAGGGAGAACAAUUUCUGUGAGGUGGCAGCUGUUUACUGAAUUAAUUUCUGGGGCCUGGGGACAAAUGCCAGGCAAUGAAUCCCACUGAUGGUCCUGUUCCUCGCAAGCACAUGACAUGGCUGCUGGACUUGACUGCUGUGUGAAGCACAGACCUGAGAUCUGCAGCAGCUUCUGGUGACAAGUCAUUUGGGAGCAUGUGGUCUCGACAUCUGUGGUGGCCAGGGCUGGGCAGCCAAAUUGCAAAGGUGGGCAGUUGCACUCUGAAGUGCAUGAACUUACUCUUCAGCACCUUCUCUGUGGAAGCUGCCCUCCAGAGACUUGUUUAGAUUUUGUCCCAUUAUAGCCAUUCAUAAGAGAUGUCAGUGUCUCUGAGGCAUCAUCUGAUCUCUCUUGUUCCUGCCUGCUGUGUCCUCAAGUGUCAUCUCAGUGCCCAGACAGAACAGUGACCCUCUGAGUGAGGGCUCGACAAGAAGCACAAGUCCCUGCAGUGUUCCCUGGGAGUAACUGGAAUUGUUGUCAUUGCUUUGUGAUCUUCUAGUCCUGGCAGGCUCUGCAAGUCAUUCACACAAAUAUCAGUGGUGCUGUGGUCUCACCUCCUGGAAACUCAGGGUACACGCAGUGACUGACCCUCCCUUUCCU
rnacentral:lncRNA from 1 species